AGUGAACGCUGGCGGUAGGCCUAACACAUGCAAGUCGAACGGCAGCACAGUAAGAGCUUGCUCUUACGGGUGGCGAGUGGCGGACGGGUGAGGAAUACAUCGGAAUCUACUUUUUCGUGGGGGAUAACGUAGGGAAACUUACGCUAAUACCUCAUACGACCUACGGGUGAAAGCAGGGGAUCUUCGGACCUUGCGCGAUUGAAUGAGCCGAUGUCGGAUUAGCUAGUUGGCGGGGUAAAGGCCCACCAAGGCGACGAUCCGUAGCCGGUCUGAGAGGAUGAUCAGCCACACUGGAACUGAGACACGGUCCAGACUCCUACGGGAGGCAGCAGUGGGGAAUAUUGGACAAUGGGCGCAAGCCUGAUCCAGCCAUACCGCGUGGGUGAAGAAGGCCUUCGGGUUGUAAAGCCCUUUUGUUGGGAAAGAAAAGCAGCAGGUUAAUACCCCGCUGUUCUGACGGUACCCAAAGAAUAAGCACCGGCUAACUUCGUG
rnacentral:rRNA from 1 species